GGAGCGCGAGCGUCUGGGGGAGGGAGAUACUCGUGAGCUCUGGUGGCGAAAUGACAUUUAGUAAUAGUUAAUCUUUACGACUGUCAAGUUUUACUAGGGCCUAUCUCUCGCCAUGGUGGCAAGGGUCCUCUGAAGGGGAAAAAAGGAAAGCGAAUGACGGGAGCCUUUUGCAAGCCCUCCCCUCCUGCCGGCGCGCGCAGCAUGGGCGGGGAACGUCCUUCUUGCGCCGGUUACGUCAUCGCGGCCUGCGACCGGGGCGGAGCGGGGCGGAGUCUCUAGAUCUAGGGCGAGCCUGCGCAGAGCGUGGGAAAGGCGUGCAGUGUGGCGUCUGACGUAUCUGUGGAGACAUCUUAACUUUCCCUCAGUGGGCAGGGAAGAAAGAACUGCAGGUUUGCUUGGCUCCCCGCCGGUUUUUCCGCCCCCGCUCGGCAGCGGUCUUCUUGUACUCGGCGAAGUGAAUUUCCCGGCGCGGUCCCUGCGGGUCCCUGAGGAGCAGCAGCACCUCAAAACCAGACACUGUGAAGUUAUGAGCAGAAUCUCAGAUGAGGAUUUCGUAAGAAAAGAGUUUGGUGUAAAUGGUCUGGAGAUGUCAGCUCUGCUAAAUGCUGCUGAAUUGCAAACUAGGCAAGUUAUUACUAAAUUGGGAAUUUCUUACCCCUAACAUCUUUUUUACUUGUCCUGUAGAUGUGUUCAAUUAAUACUAGAUAACUUAUGUGGAAUUAAACACAUAGUGCUUUGAAACAAUAAAAGUACUACAUACAUUUUUAUUUUUUUGUUAGAAUGAAUGAUUCCAUUGGCAUUCUUGUCAGUAAACUGAGUUGAGAGAAUUAGGGCUUAGUGAGACACUAUUUAGGGGAGUAGUAACAGGAUUAAGGAAGAGGUGUAUGGAAAAGAUCUUUAGAAUUCUUAAACUAUCCUCAGUCUCCAAAUCCUUGCAAUUGUAUAGGCAUCAUUUGGAGAGUGGAAUUAAAAAAAGCUUCCUAGUCUAUACAAAUUGAAUCUUGAAAAAUAUUU
rnacentral:lncRNA from 1 species